rnacentral:rRNA from 1 species
UACGUAGGGGGCAAGCGUUGUCCGGAAUCAUUGGGCGUAAAGAGCGUGUAGGCGGCCAGAUAAGUCCGCUGUGAAAUCUCGAGGCUCAACUUCGAGCUGUCGGUGGAAACUGUCUGGCUAGAGUCCGGAAGAGGAGAAUGGAAUUCCUGGUGUAGCGGUGAAAUGCGCAGAUAUCAGGAGGAACACCGAUUGCGAAGGCAGCUCGCUGGAACGUUACUGACGCUGAGACGCGAAAGCGUGGGGAGCAAACAGG